AUGAACGCUGGCGGCGUGCCUCAUACCUGCAAGUCGAGCGAACAGACGAGGAGCUUGCUCCUCUGACGUUAGCGGCGGACGGGUGAGUAACACGUGGAUAACCUACCUAUAAGACUGGGAUAACUUCGGGAAACCGGAGCUAAUACCGGAUAAUAUAUUGAACCGCAUGGUUCAAUAGUGAAAGACGGUUUUGCUGUCACUUAUAGAUGGAUCCGCGCCGCAUUAGCUAGUUGGUAAGGUAACGGCUUACCAAGGCAACGAUGCGUAGCCGACCUGAGAGGGUGAUCGGCCACACUGGAACUGAGACACGGUCCAGACUCCUACGGGAGGCAGCAGUAGGGAAUCUUCCGCAAUGGGCGAAAGCUUGACGGAGCAACGCCGCGUGAGUGAUGAAGGUCUUCGGAUCGUAAAACUCUGUUAUUAGGGAAGAACAAAUGUGUAAGUAACUAUGCACGUCUUGACGGUACCUAAUCAGAAAGCCACGGCUAACUACGUG
rnacentral:rRNA from 1 species